UAUUGCACAAGGUCAUGUUUUUCUCUGGCUGUUUAUGACGUCUUUACACUAAAUCCAUUGGAUGUUGGAUGUGUACGGAUUGAUAGUUUAGUCUUAGUUGCAUGAUUUUUUUAUUAGUUGUUAGUGGCUUUGAACUAGCUGUCAGAUAACUGCGAGUACUCUCAGAUCUGUUCAUUGUGUCUUUUUGUGUCGGGAUGUAUAAGUACCGGGCCACGUCCACUUGUAUUUUUGUCCAUCUGAUGAGUUAAGCCUUUUUCAACUGAUUUUUAUAGUUCGUUCUUAUGUUGUACUGUUAUACCACUGUCCCAUGUUAGGGGGAGGGUUGGGAUCCCGCUAACAUGUUUAACCCCGCCACAUUAUGUAUGUGCCUGUCAUAAGUCAGGAGCCUGUAAUUCAGUGGUUGCCGUUUGUGUAUGUGUCACAUAUUUGUUUUUCGUUCAUUUUUUUUACAUAAAUAAGGCCGUUAGUUUUCUCGUUUGAAUU
rnacentral:lncRNA from 1 species